rnacentral:rRNA from 1 species
UCGGCCUCUUUUUUGGGGCUUCGGCUAUCAGCGAUUUAUUCGCAUAAUGUUCCAUGUAGAAUAUAGAUCAUGACUACUUUCUAUGUGAAAGUCUUGACUAAAACACGUGCCAGCAGUCGCGGCAACACGGGACAGACAAGUGUUAUUCAUCUUUAAUAGGUUUAAAGGGUACCUAGACGGCAAAUUUAACCUUCAGUGUAACGGGACGGAAUAUUUUUGCUAGAGUUUUAUGUGAGAGGAAUUUAGUACUAUCGGAGUAAAGAUGAAAUUUUUUGAUACCGUAGGGCACUGAUAACGGCGAAGGCAGACCUUUAUGUAAAAACUGACGUUGAGGGACGAAGGCUUGGGUAACAAACAGGAUUAGGUACCCUAAUAGUCCAGGCAGAAAAUGAUGAGUGCCAUAGAUUAGAGUUAUUUGAUCUAUAAAUGAAAGUGAAAGCAUUCCACCUUAAGAGUAAUGCGGCAACGCAGGAACUGAAAUCAUUAGACCGUUUCUGAUACCAGUAGUGAAGUAUGUUGUUUAAUUCGAUGAUCCACGAAAAAUCUUACCUCAAUUUGAAUAUUAUAGCAACUAAAAGGAAAGUCUUUUUAUAAUUUUAUUAUUAAAAAGAUGGAAUUGCUAUUAAUACAGGUGUUGCACGGCUGUCUUCAGUUGAUGUCGUGAGAGACGCGCUAAGGCUCGUAUUUAAU